rnacentral:rRNA from 1 species
GACGAACCGUGCGAACGUUGUUCGGAAUCACUGGGCUUAAAGGGCGCGUAGGCGGGCUGUCAAGUCUGGGGUGAAAUGCUGCGGCUCAACCGUAGAACUGCCUUAGAUACUGACGGCCUUGAGGAAGGUAGGGGCAUGCGGAACUGUAGGUGGAGCGGUGAAAUGCGUAGAUAUCUGCAGGAACACCCGUGGCGAAAGCGGCGCGCUGGACCACUACUGACGCUGAAGAACGAAAGCUAGGGGAGCAAACAGG